rnacentral:rRNA from 1 species
GACGAACGCUGGCGGCGUGCUUAACACAUGCAAGUCGAACGGAAAGGCCCUGCUUUUGUGGGGUGCUCGAGUGGCGAACGGGUGAGUAACACGUGUGUAACCUUCCCUUGACUUUGGGAUAACUUCAGGUAACUGGGGCUAAUACCGGAUAGGAGCUCCUGCUGCAUUGUGGGGUUUGGAAAGUUUCGGCGGUUGGGGAUGGACUCGCGGCUUAUCAGCUUGUUGGUGGGGUAGUGGCUUACCAAGGCUUUGACGGGUAGCCGGCCUGAGAGGGUGACCGGCCACAUUGGGACUGAGAUACGGCCCAGACUCCUACGGGAGGCAGCAGUGGGGAAUAUUGCAGAAUGGGCGGAAGCCUGAUGAAGAAACGCCGCGUGCGGGAUGACGGCCUUCGGGUUGUAAACCGCUUUCGCCUGUGACGAAGCGUGAGUGACGGUAAUGGGUAAAGAAGCACCGGCUAACUACGUG